rnacentral:rRNA from 1 species
CACUACGGUGCUGAAGCAACAAAUGCCCUGCUUCCAGGAAAAGCCUCUAAGCAUCAGGUAACAUCAAAUCGUACCCCAAACCGACACAGGUGGUCAGGUAGAGAAUACCAAGGCGCUUGAGAGAACUCGGGUGAAGGAACUAGGCAAAAUGGUGCCGUAACUUCGGGAGAAGGCACGCUGAUAUGUAGGUGAAGUCCCUCGCGGAUGGAGCUGAAAUCAGUCGAAGAUACCAGCUGGCUGCAACUGUUUAUUAAAAACACAGCACUGUGCAAACACGAAAGUGGACGUAUACGGUGUGACGCCUGCCCGGUGCCGGAAGGUUAAUUGAUGGGGUCAGCGCAAGCGAAGCUCUUGAUCGAAGCCCCGGUAAACGGCGGCCGUAACUAUAACGGUCCUAAGGUAGCGAAAUUCCUUGUCGGGUAAGUUCCGACCUGCACGAAUGGCGUAAUGAUGGCCAGGCUGUCUCCACCCGAGACUCAGUGAAAUUGAACUCGCUGUGAAGAUGCAGUGUACCCGCGGCAAGACGGAAAGACCCCGUGAACCUUUACUAUAGCUUGACACUGAACAUUGAGCCUUGAUGUGUAGGAUAGGUGGGAGGCUUUGAAGUGUGGACGCCAGUCUGCAUGGAGCCGACCUUGAAAUACCACCCUUUAAUGUUUGAUGUUCUAACGUUGACCCGUAAUCCGGGUUGCGGACAGUGUCUGGUGGGUAGUUUGACUGGGGCGGUCUCCUCCUAAAGAGUAACGGAGGAGCACGAAGGUUGGCUAAUCCUGGUCGGACAUCAGGAGGUUAGUGCAAUGGCAUAAGCCAGCUUGACUGCGAGCGUGACGGCGCGAGCAGGUGCGAAAGCAGGUCAUAGUGAUCCGGUGGUUCUGAAUGGAAGGGCCAUCGCUCAACGGAUAAAAGGUACUCCGGGGAUAACAGGCUGAUACCGCCCAAGAGUUCAUAUCGACGGCGGUGUUUGGCACCUCGAUGUCGGCUCAUCACAUCCUGGGGCUGAAGUAGGUCCCAAGGGUAUGGCUGUUCGCCAUUUAAAGUGGUACGCGAGCUGGGUUUAGAACGUCGUGAGACAGUUCGGUCCCUAUCUGCCGUGGGCGCUGGAGAACUGAGGGGGGCUGCUCCUAGUACGAGAGGACCGGAGUGGACGCAUCACUGGUGUUCGGGUUGUCAUGCCAAUGGCACUGCCCGGUAGCUAAAUGCGGAAGAGAUAAGUGCUGAAAGCAUCUAAGCACGAAACUUGCCCCGAGAUGAGUUCUCCCUGACUCCUUGAGAGUCCUGAAGGAACGUUGAAG